rnacentral:rRNA from 1 species
AUGACGCUCGAACAGGCAUGCCCGCCAGAAUACUGGCGGGCGCAAUGUGCGUUCAAAGAUUCGAUGAUUCACUGAAUUCUGCAAUUCACAUUACUUAUCGCAUUUUGCUGCGUUCUUCAUCGAUGCCAGAACCAAGAGAUCCGUUGUUGAAAGUUUUGAUUUAUUUGUUUGUUUUACUCAGAAGUUCCACUAAAAACAGAGUUUAGGGGUCCUCGGGCGGGCCGUCCCUUUUUACGGGGCGCGGGCUGAUCCGCCGAGGCAACGUAUAGGUAUGUUCACAGGGGUUUGGGAGUUGUAAACUCGGUAAUGAUCCCUCCGCUGGUUCACCAACGGAGACCUUGUUACGACUUUUACUUCCUCUAA